rnacentral:misc_RNA from 1 species
GGUGAUGAAUCCAGCGCUAAAGAAUUCGAAGAGAUCGAGAGGCUCGGAAGAGGACCUACGUGGAUUCUUGCGGAGGCUUUCCGGAUGAGUGUGGCCGUCGGAUUUUUCUCUGUCGAGCGGAAGAUCGGAGAAGGAGAGUGAUUCGUCUGAUUCGUCGUCUUCAUGUUGAUUGCGUUGAGAGGUUAGGGGAUUGGAUUCGUUGGUGUCGUCCAUGAACAUUCUAAGGAAGGAAGAAGAUACAGGAAAAG